AAUCAGAUUUAUUUUCAAUAUUGAAUUCUUAAAAACAAGAUUUUUUUUUAGCAUGUGCAAUCAUUUCUUUCAGUUUAAAUAUGCCAGUAAAGAGUUAUUUUGGCAAAAUUGUGCUGACACAUGUGGUAGCCUUCUGGUAACCCAAGUCAAAGCAAUCAGCACUAGAUCAAGUCGAGCAGCUUUUAGCCAAUCAAAUUACAUGCAUUUGAUCACGUGACACCAAUGCAUGAAAAAUAAAUCAUACACAUAAGUGAAUGGGAUAAAAAUUCAGUAUUAUAAUUUCAAUGUUUAAAAAAAGUCUGAUUCAAAUUAGACAGUAUUUCUUUACUAGAAGUUCCCUAAUUUUGUCCAUGGUGAGUUUCUGCAUAGUUUUCUCUGUUCUGAGAAAACUAUGCAUUCACAAAUCUAUUCAGUUCACAUAUUAAUUAAAAUGUACAUUUUUGCCUCCAGGAGCCUGUAAAACUGAUCAAGUCGAUAACUUUAGUCCAAUCACGAUUUUAUAGCCAAUGUGCGUGACAUAUUAAAUUAAUUGAAUUAGUUAUAAAUAUUAUGUAUUAAAAAUAUGAAUUCACUGCUCAUGUAACCGUAAUAUAAAGUGAAACUGCAGUGUAUAGAUGGGAUACAUUACGAGAAAUACGUUUUUUUCUACAGUUUGUACUCUAAUUUGCCUAACAAGAGGAGAAGGCUGGGAACAUUAUUCCAGAAUGCACUGACUCAGGACAAGACAUUUGGUUACGCAUGCACAUCAUAUGCAAAUCAUAUAUUCAUUUAAAAAAAGGUUUACAGUUAUAUAGGAAUAUGAGGCUAUAGCCGAGAACCCAACAAAUACUUACCUUUUAGACACAGAAUAAAAGGUAAAGACUCAAACCUUUCACAACAACAAACACACAAGAGACUCAACAGGUUCAGUCUGGACUUAGACUAUGUGGAAUCUCACUAAAGUCAUCACAGUUUUCACUGAAGUGAAAAACGAUAAGGUUUAAAACUUCAGGUUCCCCAUCAGUAGUCCGAUGUAUUAGUCAGUGGCAACAGGAAAAGCCAAAAUUAGUCUGACCCUGUACGUUUGACAGGGUUGGUUAAAUGUUAACACAGGAAUAGACUAAGGAGAAUACUGCACGCAGUAACACACAGACAGACAGACGAGCGUUGUGUGUGUUAGUUUACUGUUCCUCCUCAUUUGGCUUAGCCUGUUUGGAUUAGAGUCACCAGCUAGAGGCCGGACCUAAGCCCCCGAGGCCCUGCUGUCACACAGAGUAAAUACAACUGUGUGUGCACGCUGAGCCUCGCCAAGCCAACAAGAAACACCAGAUUCUUUGGCAAUUAGCAUCAAUGCGACAGGACUACUGACAUUUAAGAGGAAGAUGUUCCUUCUGCCUUUUAGUAAAGACUGAAAAUGUCCUUAUUUAACAGCAAAUGAGCCUAACUUUCACUUUUUUUCCUAAAGUUACAUCUCUUUCACUACACAUGAAGUUCACACUUCGAUAAGUAUUACAAACUGAUGCCAUUCCAAGCCAUUCCAGUAAAGCAGCAUAAGGGAAAUCCUACUGGCUUUGCAAGUAGGGAUGUUAAGAUUAAACGAUUCACACUGAUACAGCAAUGUGAAGGUGGAAGACACAAGUUCACUUGUUGAGCCAGCUGUGAGAAGUUACAAUUUUGCAUUUUAAAUGGCAAUGUAUUGGUUUUCAUACCCUAGCAUCAAUAAAAUGCAGUCCAUUAAGUGAGAUAUUUCACACUUCUAUUUAAAAACAUAAUUCAUUCAAUUAUGAGAUAGGAGGAGAAGUUCGUCUUUGAAACGUUUAGUGCCACUAAGGAAGAUGAGUGAGUCGGAAUGCUGAGCAUUAUUUCUACUUUUGUCAGACUCUCAAAAUUAUUUUCUACACUUGUCCAGACAUUUCAGACAGCAUACAAAGUCUGUGAAAGGAUUUACUCUAAACUGAAAUUAUAUUUGCUGCUCCUGACACUCCUGUGAACUAACAUGUAUUUUUCAAACCUUUUGAAUACUAGCAAAAUUGAUCUGCAGCAGCAGUUUAAAUAAUAACAAAGCAAAUGUUUUGUCCUUUGAACUAAAUCAAAAGCAGUCAAGAUUUUUCAAGAAAAACGUUGAAAAAUCUUUAGAAAGCCUGGAGAUCUUAUUAAUACGACUUUGAAAUAUUACAAUAAAGUCUGGCUUGAAAACAUAGUUCAAAGUUCUGACAUGACUUAUGAAUGUUAAUGCAUCAUAUAGGGACAAGAAGUCUUGCAAAACAAAUAUUGAGCAGCUUCAACAGACUUGAAUCAUUUUUUGCAACAGCCAAGUCAUAAAGUAGAGCAAAAUCUUUAAAAGCAUUCUUAGAACCAUGUUCAAAGAAAAACAAAUCUUAUUACUGUAGCCUCUCUGUGCAUUCCUAAUGUCUGGCAUUAAUCUAAAUGCAAUAAAAACAAAGCCUUUCAGUUCUACAAAUAAUAGAGUAUGUUUGUUCAUCUCUAAUCCAGAAACUGCUUCCAAAAAGCACACUUUGAAGAUCAUGAGAUGCAUGAACCAGAUGCACAAGUCAAAAUUUUUGACCAGAAAGAAGACAAGGACACAAUCACACAAAUACUCAUGUCUUGCACAUAGCUUCAAAAUACCAGGUUAUACAUGAAUAUACAGUACAGAAAAAAAACAUAUUUUUGUUACUUUUCUCAAAUAAGCUAUUUCGAGAUAUGAUUUGUGAAGUAUUACCUGCAUUAUAAUGUGAAGAAAGUUUAUGUAUAUCUUGUUUCUUUCUUUUUUUCUCACUGCUGAGCCACAAAAAAAUUUUAAUUAAAAAACACCUUGAAGUACAGCUACCAAAAUAUGGCUUUUCCAACAUAUAGUAAACCUAUAUUUAUUCCUAAAGUGCUUUGAAGGACUGACGUGGCCUCAAGGGCAGAAACCAGCGUGAUGCUCAAAGACUUCAAACACCAGUGUCAGCAAGCCCGCACUGUAAAAACAGCAUGUCAACACCACUUAAUACAAACACACUAAAGACGCACACAGCCCCAUGUGACUGUGAGCAGCUGAAACGAACAAAUCAGCAAUUAGCUAACAAUCGUGGAGGCCAAAAGCCAACAGAGUUUGUAAAGAACUGCACAGAGAGAGAGUGGACUGAUUCUGUUGUAGGUGUUGCAUCUUAGACAUCAACAAAGAUGAUGGGACAAGCUGGGACACAUGCAUAAAUGUUAUCAGGACAUUUAAGCAGUAAGGCAUAAGAAUGAUGCUCUGCUUUAGCGGCACAUAAUUUUUCAGUGAAACCUGACGGUAUAACUAUAACUGAUUCAUCAAUGAACUGUGCUGCUUUUGCUCUUUGUUAAAUAGAGCAAACCAGCAACUUCAGAUCUGUACGGUGGUUUUGUUCAGAUUUUACAUUUAAAUAAAGUUUUUGCACAUUGCUUAGUGGGUGCACCAAUUUAUCGGCCAAACAGUUCCUUUUUUUCCUUUUAAUUUGUAUGACUAAACAUGGAUUUCUAAAAGACCAGUGCUGUUUGUAACAUGCAGCUACAGGUAGAUACCCAGUGUCGGACAAGAAAAACACUCACACAAGUGUGUCACCAAGCAUUGUUUGGUUAGAGUGAUGAUGUAGCAUGUGUUUAUAUAGUUACGGUUUGGAAACCACAACAAUUUUCCAUUGUGUUUUUCCCACAGGUUAAAUUCCCUUUAAAAGGAUGCUACUAGAUUAAGCAGAGUUUCCUUCAACUGUAUGAGCAGAGACAGUCAGAACUCAACUAUUGUAAACCAGUUUAAUAUUUUGUAGCCAGGGAGGAUUUUUAAACCAAAUAACUGUACCCCACUUCUUUCAAGUGAAAAUUUACUUUCCAUAGAGUUGAAUUCUUUCAAGGACAAAUUAUGGAUUUUAAGAUGUUAUAAAAUAUAUUAGAAGAUAUAUUAUACAUUGUACUUAGAUUUCAUCAUUACAAGUAGAAAUUACAUUUUAAGUAAUCAGGACUAAAUUCAUUGUUGAAAUUUGCAAUUAAGAUUUUUACUAGUAAAAGUAUGAUUUUGACUACAGAUUUGCAUUUUUGCUACCUGAUAAAUGAUUUUGAUAUGAGUGUGUUCUUUAUCAAUAAAGACAAACUGGGAAACUAACAACGUAAUAACAAAUACAUUAUUUAUGUAAACAUCAAAUCGUCAUCAUGCUCCCAGUGUAACACUAUAGAAAGCAGAGUGGUGAUUAUGGUAACUUUAUUAUAUGUAACAAAUAGGGGUGCACCAAUUUAUCGGCCAACUGGUUUAUUGGCCAGCUGACUUACCAGUGCAGAUUUUCUUAAUUUUGGGAGAUUUGGGAUCAGCUGAUACUUACACGUGAAGCCAAUCUUAUCUACCUCAGGAAAGGUCUUAAAAUCAACCACUGUCUUCUUCUACUCUCUUGUGAAAGAGAUUUGACUGAUAGACCUGCCCACCAGGUCACGUCUGCACAUUUGCAGUUAAAAAUAGUCAUCCCACUGUUGCAGACUCAGCAACUUUCUUGCUAUAUUUAGCAACAUUUCAAACAAAACAAAAUUGUUCAUGUAUCAACCAAAAUUGGAGUCAGCAAGUCAGGCUUCUUAAAGAUUGGUAAUCAGUGAUCGGCCAGAAAACUGUAAUCAGUGCACCAUAGUGAAAAACAUGUUUUAAAGGGUUUACUAAAUCCAGUUGUUAUUUAUACAUAUUUUUGCUUUAGUCCUCUACCACUGUGUAAAUCUGUUAGUCAUUUAAAACGUUGUCACUCAAGCAGAAUUUAAUCCAUGAGUUUUUUCCUGACUAUCUAGCUGAGAAAAUCUAAUUACAAAAAUAUAUGUGGUUCCAUAUAAAAGCGUAAAUUAUGGUAAAUAAUUACAAUAUGUUAAGUUGAAGCAAUAACAAAGCCAGCUGGUUGAGAUCAGGAAAUAUUUUCCAUCUGGCAGCUGUUUCAGAUAGCUAACUCUGUCAACCAACCCUGCGUGUGCAGUGAGCACCCAUCCCGACUACCUUUCUUCCAGUUCCGGUGUUCUGUUUAUCUGUGCUGCCCUUAAAUCCGUCCUAUCUUGUGGUAAUGCGCACAUCGAUGCUAUGUCACGUACUGCCUACUCAGCAGAUUUCUUAUAAAUACGUCCUACCUGUGGAAGUUUUGUUUCAUGUGUUUUAUUUCAUCGAAGAUUACGGAACACAAUGACCUGCGCAGUUCGGUGGACACAUUGUGGCUGCGCUGCAUCUGAUAAAGUCUGUCAUACAACGUAUUAAUGCGCAAAAAAGAGUUGUGGUGAUCUGUAGUCUGUGUUUCAUUUAAUUCCAAUAAAAACCUGUUUCCCCUG